GGACGGCGGGGGGGGCCCGCAGGGUGUGUCCCCACUGCGCUGCGGGGCUCGGCACCCAUGGGUGCGCCGGGAGCUGGGCUCAGCACCGCGGACAGCGGCCCCUCGGCACCGCGGACAGCACCCAGGGUGAGGCUGGACAAGCUGUCGGAGGUGGCCAAGGUGAACACGGACGCCAUCCGCCUGGCCCAGGAGGAGCGGCACCAUGCCGAUGUCCUGUCCUACCAGGUAACCCCUCCGCUGGGGGCUGGGGGGCUCCCAUCACCAAGCCACUGAAGGGGUGGUGGCCGUGGACUGAGGCAUUGUCCCCAGGGUGAUGCCGCAGCCUUGGGGUGCGGUUUGGUGGCCCCCAGAUUCACCCAAAUCCUAAAAACGCCACCCCUGCCCUCGGGA
rnacentral:lncRNA from 1 species